CAGGGAGGACUACUUCUGCUUGUGUUGUAUCAAAGAUUGUUCUUAUCCUUAAGAAGCAUGUAAAUGUGGGGAGUAAGUAGUUGAGGGACAAGCUGCACAAAUAGCAUAAAUGUAAAGUUUAUUAUUUAUUAUGAGUUUAUGAUACAAUCUGAAAGAAAAGAUAAGUAGCUCUGAGAGAGUUGUAUGGGGGUUGGAAUGACAACUUUCACAUGUUGUUUAAUUCAAAGGCUAAGAUCAUAAAGAGGUCAUCAUGUUGUGUUAUUGAGUUUGGAUUAAAUAGGUAGAUGGGAACAUUUUUUUCUAUAGUUUUUUAGGGAUAAAAAUAUGACAGAAUGGAAGGACAACUUUAAAUGUUGUUUAAUUAAAAAGCUAAGUCCAUGAAGAGGUCAUCUUGUAGUGUUAUUGAGAUUGGAUUGUAUAGAUAGAUGGAAACUUCUUUUUUCUUAUAGGUCAUUCUUUUGUGCAUUAGGGCCUUUCAUUAAAGGUAUCCCAAUGUCAAUUCUACUGCACUCAAUAGUAGGUGGAGCGGACACUAAGGCCUUGUUUAGAUGUGAAUUUUUUUUAAUUUCGGUACGGUAACACUUUUCGUUUGUUUGUGGCAAAUAUUGUCCAAUCAUAGACUAACUAGGGUCAAAAGAUUUGUCUCGUGAUUUACAGGCAAAUUGUAUAAUUAGUUUUUAUUUUCGUUUAUAUUUAAUGCUUCAUGUAUGUGCCAUAAGAUUCGAUGUGAUGGGGAAUCUUAAAAACUUUUUGGUUUUUGAGUGAACUAAAUAAGGUCUAAGGCGUCUCUAGUGAUAAGAUCAAUUUUGCUAGUUUGGCUGGAAGUGAGAGAGUAAAAAAAUAAUAUCUUAUUUCCUCAACCCUCACCCAUAGAGUGCUGCUGUAAGGACAGUCUCAGUGGGGGUUUUACCAGGAUGUCAUGUAUAUUUAUUAGAGCGUCAUGUUAGUAAAACUGUACUUUUUGCAUGAAACGAAGAGAAGAGAGAAGUAGUUUCACCAUGGUGAAACCCCGCGGGCGUUGUUUCUCACGCGGUGAAACGGGAUGAAAUCCCCACUGAGGGCUAAAUCGUUUCAAUAUCUUGCAUGUGAUCCAAUCAUUUUACAGUAAUUAAAUACUUUGCCCAGCCUAGAAAACGUCAAGGUAAAACUCAUGCAUUAUGAAGGUUGUUUCAUUAUUCGUUUUAUUGAUGCCUGUCAGCGGAUUUGUUUUGAAAACAGUGCAUUGAAACGGGCCACUCAGACUCGCCUAAACCCUGCUCUCACAGUUCCUCGUUCCGAGCCAAAUAGCUCGCUGAUCCUGUUCCUUGAGCUUUUUUGCUGUUUAAUUAAUACUUCCACAUUGGAUAAAGUUGGCGACAUAGCUGGUGAUUGAGAACGCUUUGAGGAUGUCUCCCAUGGUGUUAAAAGUUGCUAGCUCAAAAGAGUGCUUAUCUAAUCGUGCUAGCGAGCCCUCGAGACUCGAGAGCCUAGCUCGGAUAUGUCCCAAAAUCUUCUUAGUGUCUACACGUAUGCAACCUCAUACAAUCUUUGUUUUUUUCUUUUUUUUUAACUUUUUCUAGCCUCCAUGUCAGCUACUGAGCUACCUAUUGCGCGAUGUUGGGAUGCCCUUACUGUAGCACUGCUAUAGAUGGUCAUAACUGGAUAUAUUCAGGCGCCUUUGGCUUCGUUGAUAGAAACAAACGGAUAUGCUAUAGAUGGUCAUAACCGGAUAUAUCCAGUCGCCUUUGGCUUCGUUAAUAGUAAGAAACGGAUAUACUAUAGAUGGUCAUAGCCGGAUAUAUUCAGUCGCCUUUGGCUUCGUUGAUAGAAACAAACGGAUAACUAGACUUGGUUCAUGAUUCAUCUCUGUAUAUCUCUCCCUAGUCGCCUUUGGCUUCGUUGAUAGAAACAAACAGAUAACUGAACUUGGUGGUUUAUGAUUCAUCUCUAUAUCUCUCCCUAGAUUUGGUGCCGUUGCAUAUGAUUCCUACUCCCUCCGUCCUUGAUUCAGGGGCACACUAGCUCAGGAAAAGGUUUUUGAAUUUACAGGCGCCAAGCCGUUUGGUGCAUCGGAUCGGAGCGGUGUUCAGGGCGUCCCCAGUGAUAGCAGAGAAAUCGCUCGCAACACAACCACAAAAAAUAAUUAAAAAAUGGACGUCAGAACGUGAAACCUGUGAGAGAAUCUUUUUCAAAAUAUAUGCAAGACCAGCGCU
rnacentral:lncRNA from 1 species